ACCAGUGGCCGUAGUCGUGUAUGUCUGCCGGUUCCCGUUCGAUCACCGAAGUCAAGAUGCACUGGGCGGCGACCGUAAGAAGGAUGGGUGAACACCGCUCCUCACCCGUCUCUGGAAGCCGUGCUGCUGGUU
rnacentral:rRNA from 1 species